UUGUGCAUGGGAGGGAAAGAGGGAGGAAAAGAGGAAUGAAGGAGGGAGGGAUGUGCACAGGAGGGAGGGUUCGCGAAGAAAGGGGGAAUGGAGGAGGGAGGCACGGAGGAGGCAAGCCGGAGGGGUAGGCAGGAGAGGAAGAGAAGAAAGGGGGCAUAAGAGGAAGCAGCACGGAUGGGUGGAGGGGCAGCGAGAGAAGAGCGGGGUUCCUGCCUUCCACUUGGCAUCCCUGUGCUCCUCUAGGCUUGUGGAGAUGGCUCUUUGAUGGGCUGACAGCCUCUGCGAUGGACCUAAGGGUAGCUUGGCAGGGUAUAAUCUGGGUUCCUCCUCCUUCCACUGUCUCUCUGAGCAUCUUUCUGGGUGUGCAGUCUUCUUUUUACUUGUUUUCAAGAAAAAAAGUUCCUGACCAGCCCAGCACUUCCCAGCCACACACACAAGUUAUCCAUUAUUUGCCAAUUCUGCUAUUUAGCGUCUGGGGAGAGGAUGCUUGUGCCAAUAGCUGUGUUGCAGUUUGGGAAGAACCUAUCAAGCUUGCUGAUCUUCUUCAUCAAGUGUCUGAUCUUCUAAUUCCCCAGAAGAAGACCCAAAAAUCUGAAGAAUGUGCCUGCAAUGUGACUUAUCAGCAGAUACCAAACACACUCCAGAAAAGUACCACUGAAAGUAUCACUUUAGCAUGAACAAACCUGCCCUGCCUACAGAUUUUUUUAGCUCAUAUUUACUCUUAGUGAAGGAACACAGUAGAGUCAGCAGUGAGUGCAAGUGAUCUCACUGGCCAAGAAAGCCUAACUCCUCAUGCCCUUGCUCCCUCUCUUAUCCAUGUAUUCCUGUCUCCCCCAGCACCCAUCCUUCCUUGUUCCAGUUAUAACAGGCUUUACCGUAGGUUGAUGUGACCCACUACUGACUAAAAGUGGCUCCCAGAAAGACCUCAUUAGCUCUGGAGCUAGCAUGGUGCAAGCAUCAGAGUGUGUAUUUAGUGCUGGAGCAGAAAGGAAGGGCAGGGACCAACAUGUUCAUCAGCUGUGGUGGGGUGUUAAUUCAGCUGCCUGGAGCUGCGAAACCAUCCUUCAAAGAUCAACAGUCUGUCUUGCAAACAAAGGCAGUGAAAAUACUAAUCAGUAAGGGUCUAUAAACUGUGGUUAACACUGUUGCUGCAAUUACUAAUGUAGGCAAAAACUGGAAGGUAAUGUUAUUCAGGUCUUUCUUCACUGCAGAUAUACCACUGAUAACAGAGUAAUAUGGAGUUGAAACAUAAUUGGAACACUAAGGAAAGCUUGAGCUAUUUAUAGUAUUUAAUAAUUUAAUAGUACAAAGUGCACUGAUUGUAGUACUAUUCAUUUUUCUAUGUAAUUUAAUUAUUACUUCUCUUUCUUAAUUAAUAAUACAAGAGUGUGUUUUUGUAUAACACUUCUUUUCCCUAAUUCUCAUUUUGCACCAGAAUUCAAUCAAGAUCUUCUUGUUGUUCAUAAAAAAUACGUACGUACCUGCAUACAACAUUCUGAAAAAUUGUUUGAGAUUCUACACAUUGUAAUUUGUGAGAUCCCUGUGAGAUUUAUAAAGGGGAUCUUAUCACUUAAUGUUUAUUCCAGGAUCUGUAAGAACCCUCUAAUGUUUUACGCUCUUAUUCUCACAACACUCAGGUAAAACAGGAAGUUUUAUUUCUCUGACUACAGCUGGGAUAUCAAAGCACAGAGAUGUUAAAGUCUGUAUUCAAAAACCAUAUUUAAGAGCAUGGAUCCCACUAGUUAACUUGCCUAGAGUGCUAAGAAAAGCCUUUGUGGAACAAGCACUGAACUUACAUCUGCCAAAUCCAAGAGGAUCUUCCUUACUACUGGACUUUGUUGUCUCACUAAGAUUGCAAUAAAUACUUCUUUCAUAGCUGGGGUUAGAGUACUUUGUUAAGUGUGAGGAAAGAUUUUUAUGAAGGGGAGUUUUGAAUGUAGGUCACAGGAGGGCAGAAAGAAUAUAAAAUAGCUGCUGAUGCACAUGAUAGCUUUUAUGGCCAAGGAAAAUAAAAGCUGUAAUGUUUUGGAAAAAGAUAUUAUCCAUGAAAUCCAAAACAAACUUGAAUUAAGUCAGGAGAGAAUAGGCAUUCCUCUGGAAAGAUAAAGGAGUUACUCCAUAGAUUAGCUUAUCAUUGCUCUAGAACAAGUUGUUGCUGUUACUUAGAAAGCUAGUAUGGUGACAGUCUGUGCACCUAUUUGAAAUGUAUAACAUGGAAAAAAAUAAAAUAAUCCAUUUAAGGUUAAGUAUAAAAUGUGAAGAAAUAGGAUGUUGUUAUCUUUGUGUUAUGGGCUUGCUUUUCUCUAUUGUGUUAAAAUAUGUGUGUUUCAGAUAAUUUAUGAAUCUAAUCAUGACUCUAAGUUUUGUAGCGCUAUUUUAUAUGAAAUCAAUUUGGUGGAGAUAUUUAGAAGGGACCUGCAUGCAUUUUUUGUGGCUAAGAAAGCAAAGUUUAAAUGGAAGUGUGUAAAGUGAGGAACAAAUAUUUUCCAAAGGAAUUUGCUCUAACAUGAAAGAAAUUCUUGGUGGAACCUCUGAUUUCCUAUGCUUGCUGUAGGAGACCAGCCUAAACGGGAAAAAAGGUGAAUUCCUAAUAGAUGACAUAGACAGAAUAUGCUUUAUUCAGAUAUGCCUUGUUCUGGGAGUUUUAAGUAUCAUAGCUACUUAGGACUUUAGAUCUGUGCAUGAUCUUCCCCAGCCCUAUAUGUGGUAUGCAGAAACACGCAUAGAUAUGUUGACAUCGCUUCUUGAGGAUGGUCCGAAGGUUGACUUCAGGGUCCUCUCUCAGAAAUGCUGUCCAUUGGUAGCCCACAGAAUUUGUCAGAAUUACAGAAUCACAGAAUAUGCCAAGUUGGAAGGGACUCACAA